rnacentral:lncRNA from 1 species
UGAUUUGGAGGUGUAUUGACUUUGUAAAAGCUUUGCAAAGUCAAGGUUUGUUUUGGAUGACUUGGAUUUUAUGAAAUAAAAUAGGGUUUACAUUUUGGAUGAUUUCAAGAGUUUUGUUUUAGAUCUAUGGAUGAAAUUUUGUGGAUUUAUAUUUAUAGUUGUUUUUAAUCUGUUUUGUGAAUUCGAUUUCAAUCUAACGGUUGAAUUGAGGAUUAUUAAGGUUUAAGUGGAUCAAGGUCUUAGAAAGUAGAAUUUUA